GGCAUACCUUUCUCGGCCUUUUGGCUAAGAUCAAGUGUAGUAUCUGUUCUUAUCAGUUUAAUAUCUGAUAUGUGGGCCAUAGGUUCACACGAUAUUAAAUUAAUUUUUAAAAGGGGAGGUUCCGCCACAGUAGCUUGCUACUGGGAUCCUCAAGCGUCGCCCUUGCGUUGCACUACUGCAAGGGCCUGGCGCGCCCUCCAUUCUGAAGUCAAGAUUUUAUAUUGGGCACUGGAAGUUCUUGCUAGGGGCUCCAAUCAAUGAGAGCUUUGAUGCAAUAGUUGAAAUAAAUUUGUAAGUCAGAGAUAAUUGCGAGUUGUUAUCAACACAUGUUAAUUAAGAAAAAAACCUGUGGGAUUUCUGCCUGACGAUUUCUUCGAGCAUGAAUUUGUUGAGCGCAUGAGCUCAAAAGGGUUUAAUUUCUGUUUAUUUUAUUUUAGAGAAAUGCGGGGGGGUGGGCGGCGGCUUCAUUUAUGGAACAUGGUUUGCCCUACGAGGCUUAGCAACUGCUGGCAAGAAUUCUAGUAAUUGUGCUGCUAUGCAUAUUGUCUCCGGGUCUGUACAAGUUCUAGCCUGCCAAGACAAUGGCCUCAGAAUUUCUGAACAUUGAUCUUUUUCCUGUAUCUUUUCACGGAGCUGCGAAGCUGAUAAUUAAUUCACAAUUGGAAGAUGGUGAUUUCCCCCCAACAGAUAACUUUCUGAAACUAAUUUUUAGUCAUGUAAUCACUUGAAUCAAAAUUUGAAAGGAAAAACAGUCCGAGGACGAAUCCUAUCAGUUUAUUACGGGUAAACUUUUAUGGUCUUAACCUAUGAUCUUAUUAUUCAUGACAGGACAUCACUGGUGUGUUCGUGAAAAAUACCAUGUUAAAUUCUGCAGUGUAUUGAAAAAUCUUCCCAAUGUGGGCUCUUGCAGAAUACCAGAGAAAGGUGCAUCCUCAACUGUCACAGAUGGUGCAUGCUCUCUUCUAGAGUUACGAUUACAGGUGCUGCUUCUUAAUAUAAGCAGGACUAGUUCAAAUAUGGUAAUGCCAAAAAAACCUCAAAGAGCCUGCAGUACCUGGCAACGAUAUUCUCCAAGGGCCCAUAUAGGGAAAAUGUUCCGGUAUGCUGAAUAGCUGAUCAUACAAUUCUUGUUGAAGACUCCCAUGAUCUCCUGUGAUCAAAUAGACAAGUCAGUGGCAUGCCAAGAAUUAGUAGCUCCUUCCUGUUUUGAUCAUUAAAUGAACAUAUCAAAUUGUUCCAAUAAUGCCACAAUUCCAACCUUUUACUUUUGAA